ensembl:lncRNA
GUUAAUGAAGAUCUGAAGAGAAAACGCGUGAUUUUCAAGUUAAAUGGGGGAUGUCCGAAGAGAAAACGCGUGAUUUUCGCUGAAAUGGGGUAUUUGAGAAGAGAAAAUUCGUGAUUUUCGCAUAAGUGGGGGAUUCUCGAAGAGAAAACUCUUGAUUUUCACUUAAACUGACGAUUCUCAAAGAGAAAACGCGAGAUUUUCGCUUAAAUGGGGGUUUUGCGAUGGGAAAACGUGUGAUUUCUGGUUAAAUGGGGGAUUUCUGAAGAGAAAACUCUCGUGUUUUUUGUGUUAAUUGGGGGAUUUGCAAAGAGAAAAUGCGUGAUUUUCGCUUAAAUGUUGGAUUCUCUGAGAGAAAACGCGUGAUUUUCGCUUAAAUGGGGGAUUUGCGAAGAGAAAACGCGUGAUUUUCAAGUUAAAUGGGGGAUUCCUGAAGAGAAAACGCGUGAUUUUUGCUUUAAUGGCGGAUUUGUGAAGAGAAAACGGUGGUUUUUCGCUUAAAUGGGGGAUUUGCAAAUUGAAAAUGUGCGAUUUUCGGGUUAAAUGGGGAUUUUCGAAGAGAAAACACGUGUUUUCCACAUAAAUGGGGGAUUUGCGAAGAGAAAACACGUGAUUUUCGCAUAAAUGGGGGAUUUGAGAAGAGAAAAUGCGUGUUUUUCGCUUAAAUGUUGGAUUCUCGAAGAGAAAACGCGUGAUUUUCACUUAAAUGGGGGAUUUGCGAAGAGAAAACGCGUGAUUUUCAAGUUUAAAUGGGGGAUUUCCGAAGAGAAAAUGCGUGAUUUUCGCUUAAAUGGUGUAUUUGAGAAGAGAAAAUUCGUGAUUUUCGCAUAAAUGGGGGAUUUCGAAGAGAAAAGCCUUG